GUCCUAGCUGUAAACGAUGGGCACUAGGCAGUGGAGGUCCGAUGCCGUCACUGUCGGAGUUAAUAUGUUAAGUGCCCCGCCUGGGGAGUACGGCCGCAAUGCUGAAACUCAAAGGAAUUGACGGGGGCUCACACAAGCGGUGGAGCAUGUGGUUCAAUUCGAAGCAACGCGCAGAACCUUACCAGGGUUUGAAAUGCACGGAUUAGCCUCCCGAAACGGAGGUGACGCCCUUGGGUGGAACGUGCACAGGUGUUGCAUGGCUGUCGU
rnacentral:rRNA from 1 species